rnacentral:tRNA from 1 species
GGUUUGCUCAGUUGGUAGAGCAGUUGACUUUUAAUCAAUUGGUCGCAGGUUCGAAUCCUGCACGACCCACCA